rnacentral:lncRNA from 1 species
CAUUAAACAGAUAAUUUGACUUAUGCCAGGGUUAGUGGGUGAUGAUAGUUUUUGUGAUAGUGUAAGAUUGCAUUAUGCCACGAUACAGGGUGGCGAUAUUGGAUAGCAUUUGAUUGCAGCAGAGAUCACCUCACCGCUAUUUUUAUGCUCUGGUUGAUCAUUCGUAUUUGAUUAUAACCUAUACGAGUCAUAUUGAGCUUGAUAGAGAUAUUAUUAUACUCAAGUGGGUCA